CUGGAGAUGAUGCAUUAAAAACAUCUGAAUGCCACUGAUGGUGUUUGUAUUCAUACUGUCUGAUCCAU
ensembl:snoRNA